rnacentral:rRNA from 1 species
UACGUAGGGUGCGAGCGUUGUCCGGAAUUAUUGGGCGUAAAGAGCUCGUAGGCGGUUUGUUGCGUCGGCUGUGAAAUCCCGAGGCUCAACCUCGGGUCUGCAGUCGAUACGAGCAAACUAGAGUGUUGCAGGGGAGACUGGAAUUCCUGGUGUAGCGGUGAAAUGCGCAGAUAUCAGGAGGAACACCGGUGGCGAAGGCGGGUCUCUGGGCCGAUAUUGACGCUGAGGAGCGAAAGCGUGGGGAGCGAACAGG